rnacentral:rRNA from 2 species
UUAAGCGACUAAGCGUACACGGUGGAUGCCCUGGCAGUCAGAGGCGAUGAAGGACGUGCUAAUCUGCGAUAAGCGUCGGUAAGGUGAUAUGAACCGUUAUAACCGGCGAUUUCCGAAUGGGGAAACCCAGUGUGUUUCGACACACUAUCAUUAACUGAAUCCAUAGGUUAAUGAGGCGAACCGGGGGAACUGAAACAUCUAAGUACCCCGAGGAAAAGAAAUCAACCGAGAUUCCCCCAGUAGCGGCGAGCGAACGGGGAGCAGCCCAGAGCCUGAAUCAGUGUGUGUGUUAGUGGAAGCGUCUGGAAAGGCGCGCGAUACAGGGUGACAGCCCCGUACACAAAAAUGCACAUGCUGUGAGCUCGAUGAGUAGGGCGGGACACGUGGUAUCCUGUCUGAAUAUGGGGGGACCAUCCUCCAAGGCUAAAUACUCCUGACUGACCGAUAGUGAACCAGUACCGUGAGGGAAAGGCGAAAAGAACCCCGGCGAGGGGAGUGAAAAAGAACCUGAAACCGUGUACGUACAAGCAGUGGGAGCACGCUUAGGCGUGUGACUGCGUACCUUUUGUAUAAUGGGUCAGCGACUUAUAUUCUGUAGCAAGGUUAACCGAAUAGGGGAGCCGAAGGGAAACCGAGUCUUAACUGGGCGUUAAGUUGCAGGGUAUAGACCCGAAACCCGGUGAUCUAGCCAUGGGCAGGUUGAAGGUUGGGUAACACUAACUGGAGGACCGAACCGACUAAUGUUGAAAAAUUAGCGGAUGACUUGUGGCUGGGGGUGAAAGGCCAAUCAAACCGGGAGAUAGCUGGUUCUCCCCGAAAGCUAUUUAGGUAGCGCCUCGUGAAUUCAUCUCCGGGGGUAGAGCACUGUUUCGGCAAGGGGGUCAUCCCGACUUACCAACCCGAUGCAAACUGCGAAUACCGGAGAAUGUUAUCACGGGAGACACACGGCGGGUGCUAACGUCCGUCGUGAAGAGGGAAACAACCCAGACCGCCAGCUAAGGUCCCAAAGUCAUGGUUAAGUGGGAAACGAUGUGGGAAGGCCCAGACAGCCAGGAUGUUGGCUUAGAAGCAGCCAUCAUUUAAAGAAAGCGUAAUAGCUCACUGGUCGAGUCGGCCUGCGCGGAAGAUGUAACGGGGCUAAACCAUGCACCGAAGCUGCGGCAGCGACACUAUGUGUUGUUGGGUAGGGGAGCGUUCUGUAAGCCUGUGAAGGUGUGCUGUGAGGCAUGCUGGAGGUAUCAGAAGUGCGAAUGCUGACAUAAGUAACGAUAAAGCGGGUGAAAAGCCCGCUCGCCGGAAGACCAAGGGUUCCUGUCCAACGUUAAUCGGGGCAGGGUGAGUCGACCCCUAAGGCGAGGCCGAAAGGCGUAGUCGAUGGGAAACAGGUUAAUAUUCCUGUACUUGGUGUUACUGCGAAGGGGGGACGGAGAAGGCUAUGUUGGCCGGGCGACGGUUGUCCCGGUUUAAGCGUGUAGGCUGGUUUUCCAGGCAAAUCCGGAAAAUCAAGGCUGAGGCGUGAUGACGAGGCACUACGGUGCUGAAGCAACAAAUGCCCUGCUUCCAGGAAAAGCCUCUAAGCAUCAGGUAACAUCAAAUCGUACCCCAAACCGACACAGGUGGUCAGGUAGAGAAUACCAAGGCGCUUGAGAGAACUCGGGUGAAGGAACUAGGCAAAAUGGUGCCGUAACUUCGGGAGAAGGCACGCUGAUAUGUAGGUGAAGUCCCUCGCGGAUGGAGCUGAAAUCAGUCGAAGAUACCAGCUGGCUGCAACUGUUUAUUAAAAACACAGCACUGUGCAAACACGAAAGUGGACGUAUACGGUGUGACGCCUGCCCGGUGCCGGAAGGUUAAUUGAUGGGGUCAGCGCAAGCGAAGCUCUUGAUCGAAGCCCCGGUAAACGGCGGCCGUAACUAUAACGGUCCUAAGGUAGCGAAAUUCCUUGUCGGGUAAGUUCCGACCUGCACGAAUGGCGUAAUGAUGGCCAGGCUGUCUCCACCCGAGACUCAGUGAAAUUGAACUCGCUGUGAAGAUGCAGUGUACCCGCGGCAAGACGGAAAGACCCCGUGAACCUUUACUAUAGCUUGACACUGAACAUUGAGCCUUGAUGUGUAGGAUAGGUGGGAGGCUUUGAAGUGUGGACGCCAGUCUGCAUGGAGCCGACCUUGAAAUACCACCCUUUAAUGUUUGAUGUUCUAACGUUGACCCGUAAUCCGGGUUGCGGACAGUGUCUGGUGGGUAGUUUGACUGGGGCGGUCUCCUCCUAAAGAGUAACGGAGGAGCACGAAGGUUGGCUAAUCCUGGUCGGACAUCAGGAGGUUAGUGCAAUGGCAUAAGCCAGCUUGACUGCGAGCGUGACGGCGCGAGCAGGUGCGAAAGCAGGUCAUAGUGAUCCGGUGGUUCUGAAUGGAAGGGCCAUCGCUCAACGGAUAAAAGGUACUCCGGGGAUAACAGGCUGAUACCGCCCAAGAGUUCAUAUCGACGGCGGUGUUUGGCACCUCGAUGUCGGCUCAUCACAUCCUGGGGCUGAAGUAGGUCCCAAGGGUAUGGCUGUUCGCCAUUUAAAGUGGUACGCGAGCUGGGUUUAGAACGUCGUGAGACAGUUCGGUCCCUAUCUGCCGUGGGCGCUGGAGAACUGAGGGGGGCUGCUCCUAGUACGAGAGGACCGGAGUGGACGCAUCACUGGUGUUCGGGUUGUCAUGCCAAUGGCACUGCCCGGUAGCUAAAUGCGGAAGAGAUAAGUGCUGAAAGCAUCUAAGCACGAAACUUGCCCCGAGAUGAGUUCUCCCUGACUCCUUGAGAGUCCUGAAGGAACGUUGAAGACGACGACGUUGAUAGGCCGGGUGUGUAAGCGCAGCGAUGCGUUGAGCUAACCGGUACUAAUGAACCGUGAGGCUUAACCUU